GCCUGGGUGGCUCAGUCGGUUGAGCGUCUGACUUCAGCUCAGGUCAUGAUCUCACGGUUUGUGAGUUUGAGCCCCGCAUCAGGCU
rnacentral:tRNA from 1 species